AUUGAACGCUGGCGGCAUGCUUUACACAUGCAAGUCGAACGGCAGCGCGGGCUUCGGCCUGGCUGCGAGUGGCGAACGGGUGAGUAAUGCAUCGGAACGUGCCCAGUAGUGGGGGAUAGCCCGGCGAAAGCCGGAUUAAUACCGCAUACGACCUGAGGGUGAAAGCGGGGGACCGAAAGGCCUCGCGCUAUUGUAGCGGCCGAUGUCGGAUUAGCUAGUUGGUGGGGUAAAGGCUUACCAAGGCGACGAUCCGUAGCUGGUCUGAGAGGACGACCAGCCACACUGGGACUGAGACACGGCCCAGACUCCUACGGGAGGCAGCAGUGGGGAAUUUUGGACAAUGGGGGCAACCCUGAUCCAGCCAUGCCGCGUGCGGGAAGAAGGCCUUCGGGUUGUAAACCGCUUUUGUUCGGGAAGAAAUCCUCUGGGCUAAUACCCCGGGGGGAUGACGGUACCGGAAGAAUAAGCACCGGCUAACUACGUG
rnacentral:rRNA from 1 species